UACGGAGGAUCCAAGCGUUAUCCGGAUUUAUUGGGUUUAAAGGGUGCGUAGGCGGCCUAUUAGGUCAGUGGUGAAAGCCUGGAGCUUAACUCCAGAACUGCCAUUGAUACUGAUGGGCUUGAGUACAGUUGAGGUAGGCGGAAUGUGUCAUGUAGCGGUGAAAUGCUUAGAUAUGACACAGAACACCGAUUGCGAAGGCAGCUUGCUAAACUGUAACUGACGCUGAGGCACGAAAGCGUGGGUAGCAAACAGG
rnacentral:rRNA from 1 species